GCACCGGCGCAACCAUACGACACAGGAAGAAAGACACGGACACACGAGCGCGCUCUUGUGUCCGUGUCUCUUCCUGUGUCGUAUGGUUGCGCCGGUGC
rnacentral:pre_miRNA from 1 species